ACACACACAUUAUAAGCAGAUGCUGAAAAUUUCCUAGCUUUAGGUAAAAGAAAAUAACGGAGGAUCAGUUAAUUAUGAUUUUAUUCAACAUAUUCCCGUCUCAGGUUCACAUACC